CUCUUUGCAGAUGAUUGUAUGUUGUUUGGGGAAGCAUCUGAUAGGGGUGCCAGUAUACUAAAGGAAAUUUUGAAGGAAUAUGAAAAGUGUUCUGGACAGUGCGUUAAUUUCAACAAGUCUACCAUAUUUUUCAGCACCAAUACGUCAGAAGAAAAAAUGAAUGAAGUUUCAGCAAAAUUGGGGGUUAGGAUCUCAACAAACUUAGAACGAUAUCUAGGGCUUCCAAACAUGGUUGGUCGACGAAAGAAAAAAUCCUUUCAGCAUUUAAAAGAAAAGAUUGCUACCAGGAUUGAUGGGUGGAGUACUAGAAUGUUAUCUCAAGGAGGCAAAGAAGUCUUUAUUAAAUCGGUGUUACAGGCCAUUCCAACGUACGCUAUGUCAUGCUUCUUAUUACCAAAGACUCUUUGUGGAGAAUUUGAAAAUAUUUUUGCUAAAUUUUGGUGGCAAAAAACGCAUGGUAUGAGAGGUAUUCAUUGGUGUCAGUGGAAGUACUUAUGCCGUCCUAAAGAAGAAGGGUGGAUUGGGCUUUAGAAAUAUGGCUCAAUUUAAUGUUUCACUUUUAGCUAAGCAAGGAUGGCGUAUUAUAAACAAUCCAAAUUCUUUAGUUGCGCAAGUAUUAAAAGCGAAAUAUUUUCCAAGUGUUGAUUUUUUAAACUCACAGUUGGGGAAUAAUAUAUCGUAUACAUGGAAAAGUAUUUGGGCUGCUAAGGGCAUCCUAGCAGAGGGCUUAUGUUGGAAGGUGGGGCGAGGUACAAAAAUUUCAAUCAGUCGUGAUUAUUGGAUUCCAGUUUUACCGCGUGAUAGAUUACCAGUUUUAAGUUCAAAUUUGAAUGAUAGUAAAGUUGCAGAGCUAAUUGAUUCAAGUAGCAGAACAUGGAAACAAGAGUUGGUAGAGCAUACCUUUCCGGAGGAUGUAGCAGAGAAGAUCCUCAGUAUCCCACUAGCUGAAACACCGCACGAUGAUUUCCAAGUUUGAAGCGUUGAAGCGACGGGUGAGUUCACAACACGGAGCGCCUAUAAACUAUUACAAAGCAUUGAAAAUAACCCUGAAGCUUAUGCUUUACAAAAUGACUACAAGGACUUCUACAGAAAACUAUGGCUACUUGAUCUUCCUUCAAAAAUUAAAAUUACAGUUUGGAAGAUAUCUUGGAAUUUUCUAGCUACGCGAGCUAAUAUGCUACUUAGAAGACUGACGAACACGUCAGUAUGUCCUCGCUGUAGUUCAGGAACUGAAACUAUGGACCAUCUCUUCCGGGAAUGUCCUGCUACAAUAGCAGUAUGGAGAGAGUUAUCUUUUCAUAGGUUUUUGCAAGACAAUCAAAUGGGGUUUCUACAGUGGCUAACCUGGGUUUUCUCACAAAGCUCGACUCCUCAGCAUCGAAUCUUUUGUGUUGCAGUAUGGGCCAUCUAGGGAGACAGGAACAAUAGAUUGCAUAAAAAAGAUGGUAAAUCUGGAAAAGAAGUAGGGAGAUUUGUUCAUAGCUAUAUUUCAGAUCUUGAUGCAGUUGGUAAAAAUAGGUUGCAAUCUUCCAUACCUGUAAAAAUAUGGACAAAGCCAGUGGACAAGGUAGUCAAAAUCAAUUUCGAUGCAGCGUACGAUGGUAGACAAAGUAAAGCGGCUAUUGGGGUUGUGGCCCGCAAUAAGGAGGGUUCAGUUCUUCUAUCAUGUACGGAGGUUCAUCAAAGAGUUCCCUCAGCCUUUGGGGCGGAAGCAAUAGCGUGUCGGAAAGCCCUCCAAAUCGGUGUUAACAUGCAGUGGGAAAAAGUUAUUAUUGAAGGGGAUUCUUUAUCAAUAAUAAGAAAAUGUAAAACAAAAAGGCCCGAUAAAUCAUUGAUUAGUGCGUAUUUACAUGAUAUUCAUCAACUUCUGCUUAAAUUCAAUGAGUGUAGGUUUGAGCAUAUCCCAAGAUUAGCAAACAACCUUGCGCAUAUAUUAGCAAAUGAAGCGCUGAAGAGUAGUAGAGGAGCCUACCUGAUCGGACGAGUCCCUGAAGCGGCAGAAAUCCAAGCAGAAACUGAGAGGGCAAAAGAACCAGAUUGAAGGAAGAAAGCGAGAAAUGAAGGGAUGAGAGUAUAGAGAAGGGCAGACAUCAAAGUUAUUUCAGCAGCCCUAGAGUAAUCUCAAGCGUCUUGGAAAAGUAAAUAAAAUUGAAGAGAUAAGACGUUUGUAGUCUUUUAAGACUGAUUGGGCAGGUAGAAUAGUAAACAUUUAUUAGAAUCAGAUUUUGUUUCCUUUUUCUUUUCUAUAGGAGAUUUGGUUUUUCAAUUUUUGUCUUUUAAUUUUCUUUUGCUGGGCUCAAUUUUUU
rnacentral:lncRNA from 1 species